rnacentral:rRNA from 1 species
AUUUACAUAAUAUUUACUGAAAAAAAAUAAAUAAGAUGGUGUUAUCUUACCUUUUGCAUAAUGGUUUAAUAAUAAAUUUAUAAACUUUUAUAACCCGAAUUUAGAAGAUCUACCCAUGUUAACGGUUUUAGAAGUGUAAUGUUUCAAAAUUAUUAAUAUAUGUGGUUAGGGGUGAAAGGCUUUUCAAUUCUAAGGAUAUCUGGAAUAAUGUGAAAUGUAUUUAGUACAGAAUAAUUUUGAGUAAAAAAAUGUUAACAUUUUUUUAAAUAGAAUAUAAAUUAUAAUUAUGAAUUAACCUUCUUAUAAGUUUUUAAUAUUUAAUUUUUUAUUUUUUGUAUCUUAAUUAAAUUUAUGCUUUAAUUUAUAAUCAGUUAACUAUGUUAAAAUUAGUAUAUAUCUUAAUUUUUUUUAAGGAACUCGGCUAAUUAUUCAUCUGUUUAUCAAAAACAUAGUCUUAUGAUAUAAGGUGAUGCCUGCCCACUGAUAUAUUUAAAUGGCCGCAGUACCUUGACUGUGCUAAGGUAGCAUAAUAAAUUGACUCUUAAUUAGGGCCUUGAAUGAAAGGAUUGAUAAUUUCUGUCUUGAUUAACUUAUUAAAAUUUACUUAAUAGGUGAAAAUUCCUAUAAAUUAUAUAAUAGACGAGAAGACCCUAGGAGUUUUUUUUUUGUUGGGGCGACAAUAUAGCAAGACCUAUAUAUAUUAAAUUAAAACAAAAAAUUUUAAUAAUAAGUAAGCUACCCUAGGGAUAACAGCAUAAUUUUUAAAGUUUGUGACCUCGAUGUUGGA